AGAGUUUGAUCAUGGCUCAGAACGUACGCUGGCGGCACGCCUAACACAUGCAAGUCGAACGAAGUAGCAAUACUUAGUGGCAGACGGGUGAGUAACAUGUGGGUAUCUACCCUUUGGCCUGGAAUAACACGAGGAAACUUGUGCUAAUACCGGAUAAGUCUUUACGGAGAAAGCUUUAUGCACCAUUGGAUGAGCCCGCACUUGAUUAGUUUGUUGGUAGGGUAAUGGCCUACCAAGACUAUGAUCAAUAGCUGAUUUGAGAGGAUGAUCAGCCACAUUGGGACUGAGACACGGCCCAAACUCCUACGGGAGGCAGCAGUGGGGAAUCUUGCACAAUGGAGGAAACUCUGAUGCAGCGAUGCCGCGUGAGUGAAGAAGGCCUUUGGGUUGUAAAGCUCUUUCGUCGGGGAAGAAAAUGACUGUACCCGAAUAAGAAGGUCCGGCUAACUUCGUGCCAGCAGCCGCGGUAAUACGAAGGGACCUAGCGUAGUUCGGAAUUACUGGGCUUAAAGAGUUCGUAGGUGGUUGAAAAAGUUGGUGGUGAAAUCCCAGAGCUUAACUCUGGAACUGCCAUCAAAACUUUUCAGCUAGAGUAUGAUAGAGGAAAGCAGAAUUUCUAGUGUAGAGGUGAAAUUCGUAGAUAUUAGAAAGAAUACCAAUUGCGAAGGCAGCUUUCUGGAUCAUUACUGACACUGAGGAACGAAAGCAUGGGUAGCGAAGAGGAUUAGAUACCCUCGUAGUCCAUGCCGUAAACGAUGUGUGUUAGACGUUGGAAAUUUAUUUUCAGUGUCGCAGGGAAACCGAUAAACACACCGCCUGGGGAGUACGACCGCAAGGUUAAAACUCAAAUGAAUUGACGGGGACCCGCACAAGUAGUGGAGCAUGUGGUUUAAUUCGAAGAUACGCGCAGAACCUUACCAACACUUGACAUGUUCGUCGCGACUCUAAGAGAUUAGAGUUUUCGGUUCGGCCGGACGAAACACAGGUGCUGCAUGGCUGUCGUCAGCUCGUGUCGUGAGAUGUUGGGUUAA
rnacentral:rRNA from 1 species